rnacentral:misc_RNA from 1 species
GAUGAAGAACGUAGCGAAAUGCGAUAAGUAGUGUGAAUUGCAGAAUUCAGUGAAUCAUCGAAUCUUUGAACGCACAUUGCGCCCUUUGGUAUUCCUUAGGGCAUGCCUGUUCGAGCGUCAUUUAAACCUUCAAGCUCAGCUUGGUGUUGGGUGACUGUCCGCUUCACCGCGGACUCGCCUCAAAAUUAUUGGCGGCCGGUACAUUGGCUCUCGAGCGCAGCAGAAACGCGUAACUCGAGGUCCUCGUGCUGGCUCCCAGAAGCUAUCUUCACAAUUUUGACCUCGGAUCAGGUAGGGAUAACCGCUGAACUUAAGCAUAUCAAUAAGCGGAGGA